rnacentral:rRNA from 1 species
UACGGAGGGUGCAAGCGUUAUCCGGAUUCACUGGGUUUAAAGGGUGCGUAGGCGGAUUUACAAGUCAGUGGUGAAAUCUCCCAGCUUAACUGGGAAACUGCCAUUGAAACUGUUUAUCUUGAGUACAUUUGAGGCGGGCGGAAUGUGUCAUGUAGAGGUGAAAUUCUUAGAUAUGACACAGAACACCAAUUGCGAAGGCAGCUCGCUAAACUGUAACUGACGCUGAGGCACGAAAGCGUGGGGAUCAAACAGG